rnacentral:lncRNA from 1 species
UCUAAACUACAUUUUUCCUUGCCUAUAUAAAUAACAAUAGCAAUUUAUCUAAUGACUAUUGCAUCCAUACGUACAGCUAAUUUUACAUAUAAAACUCAGGGCAAGCUUCAGUUAUCACCUAUUUUUCUCUCCUCUAUGUACUUGUUUUAUUAUACAAUCUAAGUUAUCCUACCAAAGAGCGUAUUUGAGAAGGAAGAUACUGCAAGGGCAAAGGCCAUUGAAAAAAGUACAUUAGUACUUUAAUUAAUGUACAAAAGUACAUUAAUUAAAAAUGGCCUUUGUUACAUGAGGUUGCAUAAAAUAACAUUUCAAUGGAGUACGUGGGGAAAGUUUGCCUGACUGUGACAGUGCUGCCAAAAUCUAAUUAGAGAUUCAUCGAGUCACAUAUAUCAAUGUUAUUGUCUGUCAGGCAGCCACAAUGUAUCAUGCUUAAGUGGAUUUUUAACUGUCUAAAUCAGUCUGUCUAAACAACAUAAAAUAGGAAACAAAUCAAAAGACUAGUUAAAAUCAUAAAAGUGACACGGAUUUAUUAUAAAACAUCAUUUGUUGUAUUAAUCGGUUUAAUAGCAGGGAGAUAGAGCCAGGUGUGUCAGAGCAAGUGCAUAUGAGGAUGAUGUCAGUGCUAAAACAGAGACAACAUUCUUCAGCCUUUGCAACGAAUAGUACUCCCUGUGCUGUGCUUCACCCACAUCCCUUACAAAGCAGCCUGUGUGCACCACAGUGCCAGGCAGAAUGCAGCCACCUGGGCUCGAGCACCUGGGUUGCUUCAGCUGCUAGAGCACCCCAUCGGCUCUGGGCUCUUUUUGGGAUAAGCCAAGCAGUUGUUUUUGAGAGGAAAACUGGAUAUGAGACCAAGCAGUCACUCCAGAGAGGAAAGUGGGGCAUGAUGACUCACUCCGUGGUUCACAACAAAAAGCAUGGCUGCAGGCCAUCCUUUCUUCUGCCCAUGUUUCCACAGCAGAUAAUGGAGAAUGCGGAUCCUGGAAUUGCUCGCGAUGAUGGGAUGCAGCACAUCAGGCCAGCUUGUGUGGCUGUGUCGUUCCUGGAGAUUUGCUCAGCAGAAAUAAUUAAAAAGAAUAAUUCAGCCUCUGGGACAUCACAUUCACUUACAGUACUUGGAUAUCUCUAGGUGGAUCACUGAUUGAGCAAGGAUCUGUGCCGCUUUCCUCAGCUCUGGCGUGAGAUUUGCAUUUGUAUGUAUGUACACACAGAAGUACACAGACACAAUGAGCAAAGCAGGAAACGAAGCCAAAAUAGCUCAAGGCAGCCUGCCAUGUGAGUUGCACUCCAUUUAACACUAAGUCACUCUUAAUAAAUCAGAAUUGCCUGUCUCCUUUCUCCA